ensembl:lincRNA 4930555A03Rik RIKEN cDNA 4930555A03 gene
AGUUCCAGGAGGAGGGCGCAUGGGGUGAGCUCAGGGCAGAAGGCUUUUGUUCCAAAGCCCCUCUGACCUGAACGCACACACUCACAGCGUGCCCUGUAUCUGGCUCAGAAGCCGUCGCUCCGAAGAAGCCUUCAGACUACCAAGCAGAGUAAUUCCUCAGAAUUGUCCCACGUUGUCCUAGAGAAGUCGUCUUUAUAGGCAUGGAGUAGGGUGUCUGCAGGCCUCCAGUCAAUUCCAACCGAUUUCAACUGCCAAAGUUAAAAGUUGCCAUUGCAGUUACUGUCGGACCAAAGUAACCCCUGAGAACUCUCCACAUUUGUAAAACGGACUGAAAGGUUCAGUGGCGUUUCCCACCUGGAACAGGACUAGUAAUGCUUUGAACGUGAAGAGGUAUUAAUGGCCACUUGCCCUUUAAACCACAGAGGGACAGCUGAGCACAGUGACCUUCUAGCCCAACUUGAGAGAAGCAGGAAAUGGGGUCUGAGGCUGAAGGUUCAGAUGAUAAAAUGCCCCUCGGGAAGAUAACGAAAUGCUUCAUCCGAUGGUGGCCCAAGACACCUCUUAAAAUCUAAGGAAAUCGUUUCCCUUUUAAAAAGCUGCUUUGUGGAAAUAACAAGUGAGAUCUUUUCCUGCUGUUUGUCUCUCUGCCUGAAUCCGGACAUAUUUUCUCUCACAGAUGUCAAUCUUUUGCUAAAAGUCUAUAAAUGAUAUUUCUUUUAAUAGUCCUAAAACAUAAACUACUGUUUCCUCCAACUCUUUCUAGGUUCCCAGAAUGUUUCCAUGGUCUUAUUCUAUUACAAUGUUUGAAACUUUAGUAAUAUUAAGAAAUCCAUUCUCCACAUGAGUCCAUCAGCUUCACUCUGUUCUCACAUAUUUCCCCACAGGUGGCUGGACAGGGAAAAUCUAAAUGACUGGGAUAGCUAAUAGCCUUAAAAAUACUAGGCCCCAAGUAGCAAAGAGACUGUGUCUCUAAACAUCUGGAUUCAUUGCACACUAUAUGCAAAUUGAUGCCAGCAUAUUUACAAAGGUCUCUGUAUACCCAGAAUACCAGGUAACUGGACCUCUAUUUUUCUGGAAAAGAGGUUUUGAAAUAUCGUUAACGGACAUAAGUGUCUGUAUCACUUCUGCCUCCUAGAUGACUGUCCCCUGUGAGGAACUGUCGUGGGAAUGAGGCGAUAGGACUGGUUGAAGGAAAUGCUAAGAAGCUCUCUCCUUUGUGGACUGAGGGACCAGCUUCAACACCAGAGGGGUGCAAUCCCAGCAGAAAAGGAACACUGUCUCUAAUGUUGCAACAAAGUAACCAGCAUGAAGUUAGCAAGAAGAAAUCACGGUUGCAGCUGCUGAACACUGAUCCCUACCUGCUUUAAACUUAGAUCCAGAACGGAGCCGGCACAGUGACUUACGUCACUCCCACUGGCUUAAGAGAACAGAGAAUGACAUAUAGACAAGAUGCUACCUCCCAUGGAAAGGCCCCUAUACAUAAAGUCACUUUAUUUCUCUGUCACUUCCCUGAAAAUAAUUUAUGUAAUUAUGCUGUUAAUGAAGUCUAACAACUC